GCCGGGUGUGGUGCGCGUGCCUGUAAUCCAAGUUACUGGAGGUUGAGACUGGUGGAUCGUUUGAGCUCAGGAUCUCUGAGCUGCAGUGGACUAUGUCGAUCGGGUGUCCCAAUAAGUUCGGUAUCGAUAUGGUGCUCCUGGGGGAGCCGGGACCACCAGGUCGUCUAAGGAGGGGUGCACCGGCCCAGGUCGGAAACGGAGCAGGCAAAGCCCCCGUGCCCGCUCAGUAGUGGGAUCGCGCCUGUGAAUAGAGGCUGUAGUGAAGCCUGAGUAAUACAGCGGGACCCAGUCUUUU
rnacentral:SRP_RNA from 1 species